UUUAAUUUUAUACUAUUAAAAAAACAAUCACAUUAAGAAUAUAAUAAAAAAAUUAGAUUUUUUCUUAUAUAUUAUAUUUUGAAUUUUUAAAAACGACUAUAAAUUACUAAAUAUGUAAAAGUCCCACAUUAAAAUUUUUGUGAUCAAUGGUUUAACUUUUUUUUUUGUUCAAGCAAGAUACACAUGAUCAUAUAUCAUAGGGGUGGGCGUUCGGAUACACGUUCGGGUUUGUAUCGGAUAUUUUAGUAUAAAGGUAUAGAACCCGUUCGGGUUUUCUACACUUCGAGCCGGGUUUGGGUAUUUUAUGUUUGGGUUCGGAUAUUUUGGGUCGGGUUCGGAUAUUUAAAUUUUGAAGAAAAAAUAAAUAAAUUAUUCAUUGUUUAAGUUUUUUGUAUUUAAAAUAUAUUUUCACUUAACUAAUUAUCUUCCUUUGUCGUUAAGUCAACUUUCAAUCUCUAUCUAUUUUUAAUCUCCCACGCUUCUCUUCUUCAUCACUAUCUACAUCCAUAAUUGUUUUGUCUACACAUCUGUAACAACGAGAUGGCAACCAAAUCCUCACAUACUCUUGCAUUUAUAUAUAUAGUUUGAUUCUGAUCAUUACCGGUCCUGGGCAUAACCAAGUAAAAUAUUGGCUUAAUUACACCUCUUAAUUUCUUAUUGAAAAUUAUAUAGGCAUAAGUCCUUAAAUUUGUAAACAAAAAAGACUUUUAUUGAAAUAUUUACUAAAUAAUCUAUAUCAUAUAUAUCCUCCAAAUCAUCAUAUUUAUCUCUCCAUCACCCUAAUUUCCUCCACACCAAUGGUUUAAAAUUCAUCUAAAUCCCCUACCGCAAUCUCUCUGGCCGUUUUUUCCCAUGAUUUUGUUCCGUAAUGAAAGAGACGAACAUGGUUUUCAAGUCACUUUUGAAAAUUCCAAAAUCAUGCAAAACCAAGGAUGCUCAUUGGUCUUGAGCUACUCUUAGACCAUGAGCAAUGAGCAUGUUGAAUCUUUUAAUUCAACAGUUUUAUCAAAGCAAUAAAGUAGUUGAAUAAUGUGAAAAUCCACGUGAAUUAUUUGGAGUUGAAAGUUUUCAACGUUGAAAGAACAAUAAAUGGACCCUACAUUGUCAUAUACAGUAUUGUAUUUCUAAUGGAUAUUAAUAUUUUAUACUUUAAUCUUUGCUAAUUUAUUUAAACUCGGUUAUUUCAUAUAUAUAUUUUUUUAAAUAAAGACUACUCUCAUUUCAUUUAGAUAUAAGAAAAAAAUGUUCUUUUUGUUAAAAACAAUCUUUACAAUAAUCACUUUAAUACCUAAAAUUCUUAUGUUUCUCCUUUUAACUACCAAAUCUCAACAAUUUUCCAACCAACCAAACUAUAUCAAAUUAUUUUAAAUUGUUUAAGUUUUGUUAUCUUGAUUUUAAAAUUUAUUAUUGAUUAUUGCUUUAUAAACAAAUGUAAAAAAUAGAGAUAUGAAAUAAAAUAGUGAGACAUUGUGUUAAGUUUCAUUAAAGAAAACAAAUGUAGAUAUAAUAGUUGAAUGUAUAUUGAAUUAAUAUGUGAAAAAAAGAGGAAGUGAUGUGGAGUGUUAAAAAUUGUAAAAUAGGGUGUUGAAUAAUAUUCACAAUUUUACAUGGUCUUAUUGAUGAGAAAGUAUGGUCUGACCUGUCUAGUGUUGAUAAUUCUAACGUAAUAUAUGAAAUACAACUGUUAAGUAUUUUAUUUUUAUUCUAGCAUUUGCUAUGUUGUGGUGGUGCUGGAAGAGAAUGGAGAAGGCAUCAGAGCAAGUAGUACCAUAUUCUUAUUUUAUUAUCUUUUGUUUCAUUUUCUAUAAGUUUACCUAUUUUUGUUUUAGUUUAUGAUGCAAAAAAACAUAUUUGUUUCGAGCAAACAGAACUUUAAAACUUUGAAUUCCAUAAAUGUAGUAUCGAAUUAUCCGUGAAACAACGACUUUUGUUAUUCCAACAAGCAUGGACAAGAGGGUAAUCUCUUAAAGAACAAAAAAUGUUAUAGUAGAGUAACAUGACUAUAACUUACUCUAUGAAAAGCUGAUAAUAAUGUUAGUUUGAUUUACCCACUAACUACACAAUAGUAAAUUGAUAUUUUUGUAGUGUUUUAAAUUUUCUACAAUUGUUUGAAGGUUCAACACCCUAUUUUUACUUUUACACCUUCCACAAGGUUUUUUUUUUCAUUAAUAAUUUAACACACAUUCAACUUUUAAGCAUUAUAAUAAUUUUGUUUAUUAAAAAUCAACAACCUAUUUUACUAAUUAUUAAUUAUAUUUUCCCUGUUCAAAUUGAAAUAAACUUAAUCUCUAAUUAUAGAAAGUAAUAAAUAAUAAAUUUCAUAUAAGAAAUAAAAAUAAAUGGUUUGAUUUUUACUCAUAUAAUUGAUUGUAAAUAAUAUAUGAUGUACGAAUGUCAAUUUUUUUUAGAUAGUUACAUGUGGCUUUGGUGGUCUCUACUUCAUCAUUAUUUAACAUACUCAAUGUUUUCAACAACUAAUAAUCUACGUCAUCAUUUUUCAUUGUUUGACAUGCUCAUUUUACUGAUUCAACUGUUCAAUCUUUUAUUCAACAUCUCUAUCGUUAAUAGUCUUAUACAAUAAUUUUAAAUUUUAAUACAUGCAACUAAAUUAAGACUAAUACUAUCCACAAUGAUUUCAAAAAUAUGUUCAUUUUACUAUUUUUUCAAAAAUAUGUUUCUAUUUGUUUUUAAUAUCAAUAAUAUUAGGGAUGGGCAAAAUACCCGAAUCUGAAGAAUCGAACUGAUCUCGAUCCGAAAGUAGUACCAAACCCGAAGCAAAUUGAUUAAAUAUCUGAAUUAUUCAAAAUUUUAGUUUUUGGAGAACCGAAACCAAAUCGAUCUGAACCAAAGUAUUUCGGGUACCCAAAUGUAUCUGAAAUAGAUUUAUGUACUUAUAUAUUACUUAUUUUUAGAUUUAAUGUAUAUAAAAACAGCUAGAAUAUGUAAGAUACUUUUAAGCUGGUUUAAAUACUUUAAAAUAUACACAAAUAGUCAAUAGUAAAUAUCUAAAAUAGUAAAAGUAUACUUAAAGCACCAACAAUAUUAUAACUAUUGAUUCUCUAUCCAAAUAUUUGAACUAAACUAAUUUAUAUGUUAAGUUUAGGUAGCAUCACAUAUGUUAUUCAAAUUUAUAUUUAAUA